GCCUAACACAUGCAAGUCGAACGCGAAAAUUCCUUCGGGAAUGAGUAGAGUGGCGGACGGGUGAGUAACGCGUGGGAAUAUACCUAGAGGUACGGAACAACGCCGGGAAACUGGUGCUAAUACCGUAUGUGCCCUUCGGGGGAAAGAUUUAUCGCUAAGAGAUGGACCCGCGUUGGAUUAGAUAGUUGGUGAGGUAAUGGCUCACCAAGUCGGCGAUCCAUAGCUGGUUUGAGAGGAUGAUCAGCCACACUGGGACUGAGACACGGCC
rnacentral:rRNA from 18 species